rnacentral:rRNA from 1 species
GUGCCAGCCGCCGCGGUAAUACGGGGGGAACGAGCGUUGUUCGGAUUUACUGGGCGUAAAGGGCGUGUAGGCGGAUUUUCAAGUCGGAUGUGAAAACCCCAAGCUUAACUCGGGGCCUGCAUCCGAUACUGCAAAUCUUGAGUACGGGAGAGGAAAGCGGAAUUCCAGGUGUAGCGGUGACAUGCGUAGAUAUCUGGAAGAACACCGGUGGCGAAGGCGGCUUUCUGGACCGAUACUGACGCUGAGGCGCGAAAGCCAGGGGAGCAAACAGGAUUAGAUACCCUGGUAGUCCUGGCUGUAAACGAUGGGCACUAGGUGUUGAGGGUAUCGACCCCCUCAGUGCCGCAGCUAACGCAUUAAGUGCCCCGCCUGGGGAGUACGAUCGCAAGGUUGAAACUCAAAAGAAUUGACGGGGGCCCGCACAAGCGGUGGAGUAUGUGGUUCAAUUCGAGGCAACGCGAAGAACCUUACCUGGGUUUGACAUACACCGGACCGCGGCUGAAAGGCCGCUUCCCCUUCGGGGGCCGGUGAACAGGUGCUGCAUGGCUGUCGUCAGCUCGUGCCGUGAGGUGUUGGGUUAAGUCCCGCAACGAGCGCAACCCUCGUCCUUAGUUGCCAUCAGGUAAUGCUGGGAACUCUAAGGAGACUGCCGGUGAUAAGCUGGAGGAAGGUGGGGAUGACGUCAAGUCCUCAUGGCCCUUACAUCCAGGGCUACACACGUACUACAAUGGCCGGUACAGAAGGUAGCAAGACCGCAAGGUGGAGCUAAUCCCUAAAACCGGUCUCAGUUCAGAUUGGAGUCUGCAACUCGACUCCAUGAAGUUGGAAUCGCUAGUAAUCGCGAAUCAGCAGGUCGCGGUGAAUACGUUCCCGGGCCUUGUACACACCGCCCGUCAAGCCACGGAAGUUGGGAGCACCCGAAGUCGUCGCGCCAACCGCAAGGAGGUAGACGCCUAAGGUAUGGAUGGUGAUUGGGAUGAAGUCGUAACAAGGUAACC